AUUCCAGCUCCAAUAGCGUAUAUUAAAGUUGUUGCAGUUAGAACGCUCGUAGUCGGAUUUCGGGGCGGGCCGACCGGUCUGCCGAUGGGUACGCACUGGUCGGCGCGUCCUUCCUUCCGGAGACCGUGCCUACUCUUAACUGAGCGGGGGCGGGAGACGGAUCGUUUACUUUGAAAAAAUCAGAGUGUUUCAAGCAGGCAGCUCGCUCUUGCAUGGAUUAGCAUGGGAUAAUGAAAUAGGACUUUGGUGCUAUUUUGUUGGUUUCGAACACCGAAGUAAUGAUUAACAGGGACAGUCAGGGGCACUCGUAUUCCGCCGAGAGAGGUGAAAUUCUCAGACCAGCGGAAGACGAACCACUGCGAAAGCAUUUGCCAGGGAUGUUUUCAUUA
rnacentral:rRNA from 1 species